rnacentral:sRNA from 1 species
UCAUCAUCCUUUAACUUGACCCCAUUGUUGUGUGUCCUGCACUCUGGGAUGAUUGGGAACAGAUCUUGCCCCUCCCCUGUAUGACAGCCUUUCAAGUAUUUGAAAAGUGCUAUCAUAUCUCCCUUCAGUCUUCUUUUCUCAAGGCUAAACAUGCCCAGUUUUUCAGCCUUUCCUCAUAGGAGGAAAGACUGAGAAGCAGCAGCAGCAUUAGUGAGCAUAACAGCACAUAAAACUGCAAUGG